UAGAUCAGUUAACCUAUUUAUGGGUUCUUGUUUCACCCAUAUUUGAGUAUAGUAUACUUUUACCUAUAUUAUUGGUAAAAUAUACCGAGAAAAUCGGUGAAGUUCACCGAUAAUAUUGGUAAAGAGACUUUACCAACAUAUGGGUAAAUUAAUUCACCCAUAUUUGGUUGAAAAAAUAGUCUUCAUAUAGUUCAGUUGUUUUCGUUCCGUUAAUCGAAAACAACUUUGUCUAAUUUUACUGAAGUCAGAGCCUCAAAAAUCGUGAACAAUAAAUGUACUGAAAAUGCACUCCGCAGACUGCCUGGUGCCGAAUCUUACAGAACGGCUGCAGCAAAGAAUAUGGUCCAUUAUCUCCAGAGCCACUGCUCUACAGAAACAGCGGGGAGCGGACUCUAACCAGUCCCAGCAUGAAAAGCUCCUUUCGUUCCGGCCACGUACAGAGCUCAAAUUCAUGGAAUCAAAUGAAAUCCAAGCAACAGGAUGCUACCCUACUGGCUCCAGAAGGUGAUGCAGGAAAACCAUUUUCAACACUUCUGCAGAACGGUGCCGCAUCUUUCGGAACCGUAUAGUCACAGCAGAGGAUCCUGCUAGUUCUCUCUAAUACCUCCGGACUAGUGAAGCGUUGUUCCGGUCCCGUUAAGUUAACUUAACUAAUAAUCGAUUGGCCGCUGCAAGCUCGAAUCAUGUCUCUACAAGGGGAGGUUUGCUAACGAUAUUUUUCCGGUACUUGCUGUUAAUGAACCCGGUGCGGCUGGGUUAUGGAUACCUGGUGAUGUGUAUUCUCUGUUUGUAGGUUUGCUCUCCAAUAUUUCCAGAAUGAUAUCAGUCCAAAUCAA